rnacentral:rRNA from 1 species
CUUGCUGCUUCGCUGACGAGUGGCGGACGGGUGAGUAAUGUCUGGGAAACUGCCUGAUGGAGGGGGAUAACUACUGGAAACGGUGGCUAAUACCGCAUAACGUCGCAAGACCAAAGAGGGGGACCUUCGGGCCUCUUGCCAUCAGAUGUGCCCAGAUGGGAUUAGCUUGUUGGUGAGGUAACGGCUCACCAAGGCGACGAUCCCUAGCUGGUCUGAGAGGAUGACCAGCCACACUGGAACUGAGACACGGUCCAGACUCCUACGGGAGGCAGCAGUGGGGAAUAUUGCACAAUGGGCGCAAGCCUGAUGCAGCCAUGCCGCGUGUAUGAAGAAGGCCUUCGGGUUGUAAAGUACUUUCAGCGGGGAGGAAGGUGUUGUGGUUAAUAACCGCAGCAAUUGACGUUACCCGCAGAAGAAGCACCGGCUAACUCCGUGCCAGCAGCCGCGGUAAUACGGAGGGUGCAAGCGUUAAUCGGAAUUACUGGGCGUAAAGCGCACGCA